rnacentral:rRNA from 1 species
UACGAAGGGUGCAAGCGUUAAUCGGAAUUACUGGGCGUAAAGGGUGCGUAGGCGGUUCGUUAAGUCUGACGUGAAAUCCCCGGGCUCAACCUGGGAAUUGCGUUGGAGACUGCAAGGCUGGAGUCUGGCAGAGGGGGGUAGAAUUCCACGUGUAGCAGUGAAAUGCGUAGAGAUGUGGAGGAAUACCGAUGGCGAAGGCAGCCCCCUGGGAUAAUACUGACGCUCAGGCACGAAAGCGUGGGGAGCAAACAGG